CGAGAGCCCUGAAGGGACGUUGAAGACGACGACGUUGAUAGGCCGGGUGUGUAAGCGCAGCGAUGCGUUGAGCUAACCGGUACUAAUGACCCGUGAGGCUUAACCUUACAACGCCAGAGGCGUUUUG
rnacentral:rRNA from 1 species